UUAUUAGUAUAGGUAUGUCCCAUGCAAUAUUUGAGACAUAUUUAUAUUAAAA
rnacentral:pre_miRNA from 1 species